CCUGCGACAGGUGGAGCGCACGGGGCGGGCGCACGGCCAUGUCCGCCGAGGGCGCGGAGCCGGGGCCGGGGUCCGGGCCCGGGCCGGGACCACUCUGCCCCGAACACGGCCAGGCUCUGAGCUGGUUCUGCGGCUCCGAGCGACGGCCCGUGUGCGCCGCCUGCGCGGGGCUGGGCGGUCGCUGCCGGGGGCACCGCAUCCGCCGGGCGGAGGAGCGCGCCGAGGAGCUGCGGAACAAGAUUGUGGACCAGUGUGAGAGGCUGCAGUUACAGAGUGCUGCCAUCACCAAGUAUGUGGCGGACGUCCUGCCGGGGAAGAAUCAAAGAGCAGUGAGCAUGGCCAGUGCAGCGAGGGAACUGGUUAUCCAGCGGUUGAGUCUGGUGAGGAGUCUUUGCGAGAGCGAGGAGCAGCGGUUACUGGAACAGGUGCAUGGCGAAGAGGAGCGGGCCCACCAGAGCAUCCUGACACAGCGGGUGCACUGGGCCGAGGCGCUGCAGAAGCUUGACACCAUCCGCACCGGCCUGGUGGGCAUGCUUACCCACCUGGAUGACCUCCAGCUGAUUCAGAAGGAGCAAGAGAUUUUUGAGAGGCACAGAGGACAUACGGAUCGAUGAGAGGACAGUCAGCCCCUUCCUGCAAUUGUCAGAUGAUCGAAAGACCCUGACCUUCAGCACCAAGAAGUCAAAGGCCUGUGCAGAUGGCCCGGAGCGCUUCGACCACUGGCCCAAUGCCCUGGCUGCCACCUCCUUCCAGAAUGGGCUCCAUGCCUGGAUGGUGAAUGUCCAGAAGAGUUGUGCCUAUAAGGUGGGCGUGGCCUCAGGCCACCUGCCCCGCAAGGGUUCUGGCAGUGACUGCCGUCUGGGCCACAAUGCCUUCUCUUGGGUCUUCUCUCGCUAUGAUCAGGAGUUUCGUUUCUCACACAAUGGGCAGCACGAGCCCCUGGGGCUGCUGCGGGGCCCAGCCCAGCUGGGUGUAGUGCUGGACUUGCAGGCUCGGGAGCUGCUCUUCUAUGAGCCAGCCUCUGGCACAGUGCUCUAUACCCAUCAUGGGUCCUUCCCGGGGCCCCUCUUCCCAGUCUUUGCUGUGGCCGAUCAGACCAUUUCUAUUGUCCGCUGACCUCUGGCCACAGGAUGCCAGGUCCACCGCCCACCACCCUUUCAGGCCAUGUUUCUAUUCGGUGUCCUUUUCCCAAAUGAUGUGUGUGGUGUUUCUAAGAGAAACAGGGCCCAUAACCAGUGGGCAGCUUUAGGAGGGAUGGGGAUCUGUUUCAGAUCUAGGCGCAACCUGUAAAUCACAGGUGUCCAAACUUUUGGCUUCCCUGGGCCACAUUUGAAGAAGAAUUUUCUUGGGCCACAUAAAAUACACUAACGAUAGCUGAUGAGCUAAAAAAAAAAAAAAAAAAAAAAAGUCUGUGUAUAAUUUUUGUGAUAUCUGCCACCACAGAUAAGCAAAAAAGUCCUUGCAUUCAAAGGGUUGGAGAUUGCUGCUUUGAGUGCUGGGUACCUGUGAGGAACUGACUACUCCCUGGGCCUUAGUCUCCCAAAUCCACCAUGCAUCUGCCCCUCUGAGGGUGUCUUCACUUUGUCUCUGGCAUCUAGCAUGGUGCCUGGUGCAUAGUGAGCAUGCAAUAAACAUUUAGCAGGUGAGUGGAUGGAUAGAUGGAUAGGUGAAUGUAGGUGGACAGGUGACUGGGUGGAUGUUGUGGUCUCUGGAGAAGCACUGCCAUUCAGCCUCCUGCUCCAGAUUUUCACAUACAGAAGUGCUCUCUUCACAGGCAGAGAAGCCUGUGGCUAAAGUUUCCGCAUCCCAUUAAUUCAGUGCUUCUUUUUCAUGACAUGGCACAUAGAGAAAAUAUUUUUUCUAGCACACAAGAGCAACCUGAAAGGCUGCUCCUGGCCAGAGGACUCUGUCCUGGGGGACCGUGUCCUCCCCCAUGUCCUGCUUAGGCCCUCAGAGGACCAGGGGACCAUGUCUCCAGGUAACCCGACUGUAGCCCCUGCCGGCUGAGCUCCAGCCUGUGCCCACCGGUAAUAGCAGGGACAGCCUUUUCCCUUAGAGCAGCUGAUAAGUUUCCCUACCUGAUAAGUUUAUGCCCCCUCUGACAUAAACUGCACACCUGGGGUGAUGGCUUAAAGCCAGAAAGAGCUGAGGGAGUAAGAGGGCCAACCUUAGGGCACGUGGGCAUUAUUAAAGGUCUUAAAAGCAUUAAAGAUUUA
rnacentral:sRNA from 1 species